GAUGAACGCUGGCGGCGUGCCUAAUACAUGCAAGUCGAGCGAACGGACGAGAAGCUUGCUUCUCUGAUGUUAGCGGCGGACGGGUGAGUAACACGUGGAUAACCUACCUAUAAGACUGGGAUAACUUCGGGAAACCGGAGCUAAUACCGGAUAAUAUUUUGAACCGCAUGGUUCAAAAGUGAAAGACGGUCUUGCUGUCACUUAUAGAUGGAUCCGCGCUGCAUUAGCUAGUUGGUAAGGUAACGGCUUACCAAGGCAACGAUGCAUAGCCGACCUGAGAGGGUGAUCGGCCACACUGGAACUGAGACACGGUCCAGACUCCUACGGGAGGCAGCAGUAGGGAAUCUUCCGCAAUGGGCGAAAGCCUGACGGAGCAACGCCGCGUGAGUGAUGAAGGUCUUCGGAUCGUAAAACUCUGUUAUUAGGGAAGAACAUAUGUGUAAGUAACUGUGCACAUCUUGACGGUACCUAAUCAGAAAGCCACGGCUAACUACGUGCCAGCAGCCGCGGUAAUACGUAGGUGGCAAGCGUUAUCCGGAAUUAUUGGGCGUAAAGCGCGCGUAGGCGGUUUUUUAAGUCUGAUGUGAAAGCCCACGGCUCAACCGUGGAGGGUCAUUGGAAACUGGAAAACUUGAGUGCAGAAGAGGAAAGUGGAAUUCCAUGUGUAGCGGUGAAAUGCGCAGAGAUAUGGAGGAACACCAGUGGCGAAGGCGACUUUCUGGUCUGUAACUGACGCUGAUGUGCGAAGGCGUGGGGAUCAAACAGG
rnacentral:rRNA from 1 species